AUUGAACGCUGGCGGCAGGCCUAACACAUGCAAGUCGAGCGGAGCGGCGGACGGGGGAGUAAUGCCAAGGAAUCUGCCAGGUCGUGGGGGAUAAAGUCCGGAAACGGGCGCUAAUACUGCAUACUAUUAGAUGAGGCUAGGUCGGAUUAGCUAGUUGGUGGGGUAACGGCCUACCAGGGCGACGAUCCGUAACUGGUCUGAGAGGAUGAUCAGUCACACUGGAACUUAGACACGGUCCAGACUCCUACGGGAGGCAGCAGUGGGGAAUAUUGGACAAUGGGCGAAAGCCUGAUCCAGCCAUGCCGCGUGUAUGAAGAAGGUCUUCGGAUUGUAAAGCACUUUAAGUUGGGAGGCGUUACCAGCAGAAUAAGCACCGGCUAACUUCGUGCCAGCAGCCGCGGUAAUUC
rnacentral:rRNA from 1 species